GCUGCGGUAGCUCAGUGGUAGAGCACCUCAUUGGUAAUGAGGAGGUCGUGGGUUCGAUCCCCCCUCGCAGCACCA
rnacentral:tRNA from 19 species